rnacentral:rRNA from 1 species
GACGAACGCUGGCGGCGUGCCUAAUACAUGCAAGUCGAACGAGAGCGACCGGUGCUUGCACUGGUCAAUCUAGUGGCGAACGGGUGAGUAACACGUGGGUAACCUGCCCAUCAGAGGGGGAUAACAUUCGGAAACGGAUGCUAAAACCGCAUAGGUCUUCAAACCGCAUGGUUUGAAGAGGAAAAGAGGCGCAAGCUUCUGCUGAUGGAUGGACCCGCGGUGCAUUAGCUAGUUGGUGAGGUAACGGCUCACCAAGGCCGUGAUGCAUAGCCGACCUGAGAGGGUGAUCGGCCACAUUGGGACUGAGACACGGCCCAAACUCCUACGGGAGGCAGCAGUAGGGAAUCUUCCGCAAUGGACGCAAGUCUGACGGAGCAACGCCGCGUGAGUGAAGAAGGUUUUCGGAUCGUAAAACUCUGUUGUUAGAGAAGAACAAGUGCUAGAGUAACUGUUAGCGCCUUGACGGUAUCUAACCAGAAAGCCAC